rnacentral:rRNA from 1 species
AAGCGUAAUAGCUCACUGGUCGAGUCGGCCUGCGCGGAAGAUGUAACGGGGCUAAACCAUGCACCGAAGCUGCGGCAGCGACGCUGAUGCGUUGUUGGGUAGGGGAGCGUUCUGUAAGCCUGCGAAGGUGUGCUGUGAGGCAUGCUGGAGGUAUCAGAAGUGCGAAUGCUGACAUAAGUAACGAUAAAGCGGGUGAAAAGCCCGCUCGCCGGAAGACCAAGGGUUCCUGUCCAACGUUAAUCGGGGCAGGGUGAGUCGACCCCUAAGGCGAGGCCGAAAGGCGUAGUCGAUGGGAAACAGGUUAAUAUUCCUGUACUUGGUGUUACUGCGAAGGGGGGACGGAGAAGGCUAUGUUGGCCGGGCGACGGUUGUCCCGGUUUAAGCGUGUAGGCUGGUUUUCCAGGCAAAUCCGGAAAAUCAAGGCUGAGGCGUGAUGACGAGGCACUACGGUGCUGAAGCAACAAAUGCCCUGCUUCCAGGAAAAGCCUCUAAGCAUCAGGUAACAUCAAAUCGUACCCCAAACCGACACAGGUGGUCAGGUAGAGAAUACCAAGGCGCUUGAGAGAACUCGGGUGAAGGAACUAGGCAAAAUGGUGCCGUAACUUCGGGAGAAGG